rnacentral:lncRNA from 1 species
AAAAAAAAAGCUAACAUAGACCUGAUUUUAACAAAACGAAAUGGUUACUGCUUUAUAAUCUUUUCUUUCCAUUAAGAUACUGUGAAUAUUUUUCUGCAUCAUUAAAUAUUCUUCUAAAACAUCAUUUUUAGUGGCAGCACAGUAUUCCAUGACGUAAAGCUGCCAUUUCUUUUUCAAGCUAAUGGAACUUAAAGAUGGGACAUUCUUUGGUUGCAUAACUGCAGCUGCCUACUAAUAAGAUACAUAACAUGGCUGUUAAAUUUUAAAUUUAUUUAUUCAGAUCAGAAGCACUACAAUAAAAAAUAGGCAAUGUGAGUUGACUAUUACAAAAGAUUCACUGAGAAAAAUAAGCUGACAUUUUAUAUUCACUUAAAUAAUUACCAAUGCUUCCUUAUGCUUUUGACUUUAAGUAUUAAAUUACAGUUAUCUACACAAAAACAUCGACCAGGAUGAAGAACUGCAGAACAAGAACAUUCUCAAACUGCCAGUGGAAGUAUAAAUCAGAAGAACCAUUAGGGAGAAAGAAACUCUAGCAUAUGUGCAAAGGAGACAUGUUUAAGAAUGCUCAUGAGAACAGUCUUUAGUAGCACCAAAUUCGUAAAAAAAAAAAACAACAACUAUCCACCAGUAGCAAACUAUUAUCUAUAUAACUUAAUACUAAACAGGAGUGAAGGCUGGGAGCAGUGACUCACACCUGUAAUCCCAGCACUUUGGGAGGCCAAGGCAGGUGGAUCACUUGAGGUCAGGAGUUCGAGACCAGCCUGGCCAACACAGAGAAACCCCGUCUCUACUAAAAAUACAAAAAUUAGCCAAGUGUGGUGGUGCACAGCUGUAAUCGCAGCUGCUUGGGAGGCCAAGGCAAGAGAAUUGCUUGGACCUGGGAGGCAGCAGCUGCAGUGAGCAAAGAUAGCACCACUGCACUCCAGCCUGGGCGACCCAGCGAGACUCUGUCUCAAAAAAUAAAAAUAAAAAUAAAAUAAUAAUAAAUAAACAGGAAUGAAAAGUGGGCAAUAUAGAUCAGUGCUGCCCAACAGACAUAUAAUGUAAGGCAUUUCAAAUAUAUAUUUAAAUUUUCUAGUAGCCAUAUUUUAAAAAAGGAAACCACUGGUAAAAUUUUUACAUUUUAUUUAAUCCAAUACAUCCAAACUAUUAUCAGUUCCAUAUGUGGUCAAUAUAUCAGAUUUUUUCAGAUUUUGGAAUAUUUGCAUUAAACCUUUGAGCAUUUCCUUUGAGAGUCAUGUCAGUAAUCAAAAAAUUUUGGGUUUUGGAGCAUUUUCUAUUUCAGAUUCUUAGGGAUACUAAACUUUUAGUGAGAUAUUUUACAUGUUUUUAAUACUAAAUAUUUGAAAUUCCAUGUACAAAUAUAUUUCUAGCACAUCUCAAUGUGGACUAGCUACAUUUCCAGUACUCAAUAGCCACAGAUAGUUAGUGGCUAUUGUAUUGGACAGUGCAGAUCUGGAGUUACAUCAAAAUCCUAAAAACAACAUUGAGCAAACAAACAAAAAAAAAAAAGGCAAGUUGCAAAAUAAUAUGUACUGUAUGGUGCCACUUACAUAAACGUAUAAAACUGAAAAAAUUUCAUUCUCAGUAAACUAUCGCAAGAACAAAAAACCAAACACCACAUAUUCUCAUUCAUAGGUGGGAACUGAACAAUGAGAUCACAUGGACACAGGAAGGGGAACAUCACACUCUGGGGACUGUUGUGGGGUGGGGGGAGGGGGGAGGGGGGAGGGAUAGCAUUGGGAGAUAUACCUAAUGCUAGAUGACAAGUUAGUGGGUGCAGCACACCAGCAUGGCACAUGUAUACGUAUGUAACCUGCACAAUGUGCACAUGUACCCUAAAACUUAAAGUAUAAUAAUAAAAAUAAAUAAAUAAACUGAAAAAAUUCUAAAUAAGGUUUAUGUAUAUGGAAACAUGUUUAUGUAGAAAACAUUAAAAUAACCCAUGAGGCUUCAACUCUAUCUGUAAUGUUUUAAUUCUUUAAAAGAAAUCUAAAGCAAAUAUGACAUAAGAUUUUAAAAUAUUUCCCACUUAAAUAAUAAAAAAAUAGAAUAUGCUUGCUUCUGUUUAUAUUCAAUUACUUACUUCUGAAAAUAUGCUACAGAAAUAUUUAGUGUGUAAAUUUCAUAUUUUACUUUGUACUACAUAGAUCCGUAGCAUCUUUCUGUUGUUCAUGUAUUAAGUUUGAUAACAGAAGUUCAAGGAAAAGUUCAAAAAAUUAAGUAAGGAUAAAAACUGAUGAAUUUUGUCUUGUUUAUUCAACAAGCAUUUACUAUAUGAUUAUUGUGUGUAUUCAGGGAGUUCAUAAUGUGGUGAACAGCUUUUUGUUACAAGCAGUCAUAUGGAGAUGAAAGUAUAUUUUAGCACUACAUAGAACACCAAGAUCAAAGUAAAAGAGCAAAAUACUUAAACAGUGAGUUUUGGCCCUGAGAGUAAUUGUUAAAUGGAAAAUUUUUAAAGGCAUUCUUCUUUUUAUGUAUAUAUUUAAAGGGUAUGGCCAGGCGCAGUGGCUCAUAUCUGUAAUCCUAGCACUUUGGGAGGCAGAGGCGGGCAGAUUGCUUGAGCUCAGGAGUUCAAUACCAGCCUGGGCAACACGGCAAAACCCAUCUCUACAAAAACUAUAAAAAUUAGCCAGGCAUGGUAGCAUACACCUGUAGUCCCAGCUACUUGGGGGGCUGAGGUGGGAUGAUCGCUUGAGCCUGGGAGGUCAAGCAGGCAGUGAACUGUGAUCAUGCCUCUGCACUCCAGCUGAGGCAACAGCGAGAGACCCUGUCUCAAUCAAUCAAUCAAUAAAGUGUACAACAUGAAUGUUUUGAUAUACAUAUACAUAGUGAAAUGAUUACUAUGGUCAAGCAAAAUGUCCCAUCUCCACAUAUAGUUAUCUUUUUCUGUGUGUGCUGAAAACACCUGAAAUCUACUCUUUUAACAACUUUCCAGUACAUGAUACAGUAUUAUUAACUAUAGUGUUCAUGCUGUACAUUAGAUCUCUAGACCUAGUCAUCCUACGUGAUUCCAACUUGGUAACCUUUAACCAAUAUCUCCCCAUUUCUCCCACCUUCCUACCCAUUUAACUACUUUUCUACUCUCUUCUUUUGCAGACUUGGCAUUCUUAGAUUCCACAUAUAGGUUGAAGUCAUGAAGUAUUAUUUUUUCCACGUCUGGCUAACUUCACUUGCCAUAAUGUCCUCCAGGUUCAUCUAUGUUGUCACCAAUGGCAAGCAUAUUAGUUUAGUGUACCAUCUUAAGAUACGCAAUGACUUGGCCAGGCGCGGUGGCUCAUGCCUGUAAUCCCAGCAUUUUGGGAGGCCGAGGCGGGCAGAUCACGAGGUCAGGAGUUCGAGACCAUCCUGACCAACAUGGGGAAAACCCGUCUC